rnacentral:lncRNA from 1 species
GUCAAACUCCUCCUGCAGCACAAAAGUAGCCACGCCAGCAGACUUUGGAUCUUCCUCAACAUUGGCAAGUUCAUUGUGCACAAACGUUAGCCUCCUUUCUUCUCUGGUUUCUAUAUUAGAUAUCCAGAUGUCAUUGCUAUGGAUAAAGGCAAUCCAAUUUGGAUCAGCUGGACAAAGCUUAGGAUCCAUCCGGAUAUUUGGACAACUGGUCUCCACCAGAAUGGGUCUUAAAGGCUGUUGAGUGAAUCCAUGAGGGCCUCCAUCUUUUACAUGAUAAAUUCCACUCCCAGCCUGAAACAGAAAGGUGCCACUUUCUCGGUGGUAAUCAUAGGAGGCAAUCCCAACAGUGCCAAUUCGCU